rnacentral:rRNA from 1 species
AACGAACGCUGGCGGCGUGGUUCAGGCAUGCAAGUCGAACGGUACAUCGCAAGAUGUAUAGUGGCAGAAGGGUUAGUAACACGUGGGCAAUCUACCCCCGAGUCGGGGAUAACACCGCGAAAGCGGUGCUAAUACCCGAUAAUAUUCUCCGGUGGCAUCAUCGGACAAUCAAAGGUGGCCGCAAGGCUGCCGAUUGGGGAGGAGCCCGCGGCCUAUCAGCUAGUUGGUGAGGUAACGGCCCACCAAGGCUUUUGACGGGUAGCUGGUCUUAGAGGACGAUCAGCAACAUUGGGACUGAGACACUGCCCAGACUCCUACGGGAGGCUGCAGUCGAGGAUCUUUAGCAAUGCCCGAAAGGGUGACUAUGCGACGCCGCGUGCAGGAUGAAGGCCUUCGGGUUGUAAACUGCUGUCAGUGGGGAAGAAACCCUUAUAUUUAAAAGAUGUAAGGCUGACAUCACCCACAAAGGAAGCCACGGCUAACUCUGCGC